UACAGGGGGUGCAAACGUUGCUCGGAAUUAUUGGGCGUAAAGCGCGCGUAGGCGGCUACUUAAGUCGGAUGUGAAAGCCCUUGGCUCAACUGAGGAAGUGCACCCGAAACUGAGUGGCUAGAGUACGAAAGAGGGUCGCGGAAUUCCCGGUGUAGAGGUGAAAUGCGUAGAUAUCGAGAGGAACACCUGCGGCGAAGGCGGGUUGCUGGGCUGACACUGACGCUGAGGCGCGAAAGCUAGGGGAGCGAACGGG
rnacentral:rRNA from 1 species